CAAACGACUCUCGGCAACGGAUAUCUCGGCUCACGCAUCGAUGAAGAACGUAGCAAAAUGCGAUACUUGGUGUGAAUUGCAGAAUCCCGUGAACCAUCGAGUUUUUGAACGCAAGUUGCGCCCGAAGCCSUUCGGCUGAGGGCACGUCUGCCUGGGCGUCACGC
rnacentral:rRNA from 1 species